GUUUCAAGUUUUACAUAUUUGAAAUAAAAUUGUAAGAAAUAUAGCAUUCAGGUAAUAGUGGUCAUUUGCACGUAUAAGUACUUAAGAUAAGAAAGCAAUAAAAGUACUUUGCAAGUGAUUUUCUUUCUAGGUAAAGGUACGUGGCUUGGUUGACAUAACUCCAGCCUUUAAAAUAGAGGUCUGGAAUU